CUAACUUUUGUUUUCUAGGUGAACCUGCGGAAGGAUCAUU
rnacentral:rRNA from 1 species